CAGUGUGGGAGUGUUAUGGGCUGAAUUAUGUCCACUUCAAAUUCAUUGGUUGAAGUCUGAACCCCUAGAACCUUAGAAUGUAAUCGUUUUUGGAGAUAAGCUCUUCAAAGAGGUAAUUAAGUUAAAAUGAGUCUGUUAGGGUGGGCCCUAAUCCAAUCUGACUCUAUCCAAACCUCACACAAACCACUUGUGUUGUGGGGGAAAUGAAUCAGGGACCUUCUCACUAAACUAUUUUGGCAUAAAAAAAAUCAUAAACGAGAGAGGAGAAAAUCUUGUUUGCUAAAGGGCUGCUGGGUGAACUGCCUCUUGGCCUUUCGAUAGCAUCUUUGAAAUGGAAAUGGCCAGCUGCCUGACCUUCUGUUCAGUGACCCUUUUUGUACAAAGUCAAAUUGCAGCCGCCUCACAGCAGCAAUUCACCUAUGGACACA
rnacentral:lncRNA from 10 species